CGAACCGGCGCACGGGUGAGUAACACGUAUGCAACCUGGCCCGUCUCAGGGGGAUAAUCGUCGGAAACGGCGUCUAAUACCCCGUAUGAAGCUGGACGGCAUCGUCUGGUUUUGAAAGAAUAUCGGAGACGGAUGGGCAUGCGGCGCAUUAGCUAGUUGGCGGGGUAACGGCCCACCAAGGCGACGAUGCGUAGGGGUUCUGAGAGGAAGGUCCCCCACACUGGUACUGAGACACGGACCAGACUCCUACGGAAGGCAGCAG
rnacentral:rRNA from 1 species